CCCUUAGAUGUUCUGGGCCGCACGCGCGCUACACUGACGAUGGCAACGAGUUUUUCCUUCGCCGAAAGGUGUGGGUAAUCUUUUGAAACAUCGUCGUGCUGGGGAUAGAUCAUUGCAAUUUUUGAUCUUGAACGAGGAAUUCCUAGUAAGCGCGAGUCAUAAGCUCGCAUCGAUUAAGUCCCUGCCCUUUGUACACACCGCCCGUCGCUACUACCGAUUGAACGUUUUAGUGAGGCAUUUGGACCGACGCAUCUCAGUUUAACCGCUGGUUUGUGUUGGAAAGACUUCCAAACUUGAGCGUUUAGAGGAAGUAAAAGUCGUAACA
rnacentral:rRNA from 1 species